UCACUGCAAUUCAUUCUAACACUGCACUUCCAGGAUGGUUAUCUCUGGAGAACCUGGGAAGAGAAGAAGAAAGAAACAGGGAGUAUCCUGAAAAUUGGUCUGAAAAUCUUUCUGAUCUCCUGAGAGUGAAACAUUCAGCUUACCAUCUACCUCCUACUUCCAUCACUACCUGAAGACCCCAAAACUCUGACUGUACAGGGCACCUGAGUGGCUCAGUCAGUUGAGUGUCUGCCUUCAGCUCAUGUCAUGAUCGCAAGGUCCUGAGAUCAAAUCCCACAUAAGGCUUCCUGUUUAGCAAGUGGGAGUAUGCUUCUCCUUCUACCCCUCCCCCCUGCUCAUGC